UACGGAGGGGGCUAGCGUUGUUCGGAAUUACUGGGCGUAAAGCGCGCGUAGGCGGCUUUGUAAGUUAGCGGUGAAAGCCCGGAGCUCAACUCCGGAACUGCCUUUAAGACUGCAUCGCUAGAAUCAUGGAGAGGUUAGUGGAAUUCCGAGUGUAGAGGUGAAAUUCGUAGAUAUUCGGAAGAACACCAGUGGCGAAGGCGACUAACUGGACAUGUAUUGACGCUGAGGUGCGAAAGCGUGGGGAGCAAACAGG
rnacentral:rRNA from 1 species